rnacentral:rRNA from 1 species
AUUGAACGCUGGCGGAAUGCUUUACACAUGCAAGUCGAGCGGCAGCGCGGGGGCAACCCUGGCGGCGAGCGGCGAACGGGUGAGUAAUACAUCGGAACGUGUCCUUAAGUGGGGGAUAGCUCGGCGAAAGCCGGAUUAAUACCGCGUAAGCUCUGAGGAGGAAAGCGGGGGCUCCGUAAGGACCUCGCGCUGUUGGAGCGGCCGAUGUCGGAUUAGCUAGUUGGUGGGGUAAAGGCCCACCAAGGCGACGAUCCGUAGCUGGUCUGAGAGGAUGAUCAGCCACACUGGAACUGAGACACGGUCCAGACUCCUACGGGAGGCAGCAGUGGGGAAUUUUGGACAAUGGGGGCAACCCUGAUCCAGCCAUUCCGCGUGAGUGAAGAAGGCCU